ACCUGACAGCCCAUGAAGGACAAGGACCUGGCACUCCACCUGCUUCCUGAGGGACAGAAGAGGCAGCAUAAAAUGGAUAGAAAUGAUGGAAUCAAGCACCAGCUGGAUUUGGGAAAUUGUAGAUAUGUUGUAUCUCUAUGCAGGAGAGUGGAAGCUCAUUUUCAAUUCAGAUUCCCUUCUACAACUUGCCAUGAUUUUCUGAUUUGCCCUUAACUGGGUCCUCUCAACUGUGUUUCCAUUCCGGGUUUUCUAAAAUUUAUCAUCAAUAAAUGGUAACACACUUUUCCAAAUUAUUUCCAAGAAUUUUAGUCUUUUUUCCAGCUAAAGCUCUGUU